AUGAACGCUAGCGGCAGGCUUAACACAUGCAAGUCGAGGGGUAGAGGAAGCUUGCUUCCUUGAGACCGGCGCACGGGUGCGUAACGCGUAUACAAUCUACCUUUUACAGAGGGAUAGCCCAGAGAAAAUUUGGAUUAAUACCUCAUAGUAUAGCAGUUUCGCAUGAAACCACUAUUAAAGUCACAACGGUGAAAGAUGAGCAUGCGUCCCAUUAGCUAGUUGGUAAGGUAACGGCUUACCAAGGCAACGAUGGGUAGGGGUCCUGAGAGGGAGAUCCCCCACACUGGUACUGAGACACGGACCAGACUCCUACGGGAGGCAGCAGUGAGGAAUAUUGGACAAUGGGCGCAAGCCUGAUCCAGCCAUGCCGCGUGCAGGAUGACGGUCCUAUGGAUUGUAAACUGCUUUUAUACAGGAAGAAACACUACUUCGUGAAGUAGCUUGACGGUACUGUAAGAAUAAGGAUCGGCUAACUCCGUG
rnacentral:rRNA from 1 species